AUGGGCAAAGCAUUUUUAGCCAAUAGUGUUGGAGUGAUAAAUAUGUGUGGGACAUAUUUGAAGAAAGCUAAGGGUAAACACAACUUGGGCGAUAGCAACUUAUCAGAGGAAAUGAAGGAAUCCGGUGAGCAUAUCAAGGGGAAACAACAAGAUAAUUUUGUGGGGACAACAAAGAAUGAUCAUAAGAGGGAUUGGAAAACUCUAGCCAUGGCUACCAAGGAUGUACCCGUGGAGGUGGAAGUUAUUGAAACAAAAUCCAAUAAUUUAGGCAACAAAAGGAGGAACAAUGGAAACAGAACUCGACAAGAUAACGGUGGAAAUAAAACAAAGAGGGAAGCAAUGGGUAAAAACACCUUGGUCGAUAGCAACUUACCAGAGGAAACAAAGGAAUCGAGUGGGCUUAUGAAGGAAUUGCAAGCUCUGGCCCUGCCUACCAAGGAUAUACUUGAGGAAGUGGAAGUUGUUGAAACAAAAUCCAAUAAUUUUGUCAACAAGAUAACGAGGGGACAAAAUGGAGCAAUUUUAAUUUCUAUUAAUGCCAUAUGGUUCGGCCAAGGUUUGUUUACCCCCUCCCUCAGAGAUUGUGUUACCUUUACAGUCCUAUUGAUCUGGACCCCGUCCCAAGUUCUAUGGAUUUUCUGCCGGAUAGCACAAAAUACUGCUGACCAAGAUGCAUUGGGAGAUGAGGUGUACAUGUGUGACCAGUAUGUAGCAAACAUGGAUUCUGAAACGGCGGAAAACACAUCUGAUUCCGUGUGGGCAGACAUCAGCGGGUACUCAUCUUGUUCUGGGCCUAGCAAAAGGUAAUAAAUCAGCA
rnacentral:lncRNA from 1 species